CUGCAGGUGAAACAGGCUGAUUUCAUGGGACUCGGCUCUUUCAUUACUUUUCACAUGAUAGAGAGUCACGUGA
rnacentral:tRNA from 1 species